CAGCUUUGCAUGACAUUCUUCUGGACGUGUUUCAUUGUGAUGAUAGUGAGGGUGAGUCAGUCUGUUUUUUGGCAAGACAGUAGUUGAGUGAUUACUGAGAGAAAAUGAUUCUAAGUGUUUCAAGUGUUGUUACUGACCUUUUUCUCUUUUAUUUUCUUUGCCUCACCUGUAACUCUGCUGAGACCUUGAGGAACAUGCACACUGGACUGACCUGCUCUGGCAACCUGAUUUCCACUCUCCAUCCAUCACCAUUCUCUGUUCCUGCAGACGAGCAGACAGGGAGCCAGAUGACAACGCAAGAAUAUGCAGCUGCCAUUUUCCACAUGGAAAAGAGAAAGGGCCAUGUUUAUUUGAGUGGACAAAAAAGAAAGUGAGCUUACCUGUAAAUCAGUCCACCGAC